rnacentral:rRNA from 1 species
AAUGAACGCUAGCGGCAGGCCUAAUACGUGCAAGUCGAACGGUGUCUUCGGACAUAGUGGCGCACGGGUGCGUAACACGUAUGCAACCUACCUUACAUUGGGGGAUAGCCUUUCGAAAGGGAGAUUAAUACCGCAUAAGACAGUAGCUGGGCAUCCAGCAGCUGUUAAAGAUUUAUCGAUGUAAGCUGGGCAUGCGUCCAAUUAGCUAGUUGGUGAGGUAACGGCUCACCAAGGCAAUGAUUGGUAGGGGAACUGAGAGGUCAAUCCCCCACACUGGCACUGAGAUACGGGCCAGACUCCUACGGGAGGCAGCAGUAGGGAAUAUUGGGCAAUGGACGCAAGUCUGACCCAGCCAUGCCGCGUGCAGGAUGAAGGCGUUAUGCGUUGUAAACUGCUUUUAUACAGGAAGAAACGACUCUUGCGAGAGGCAUUGACGGUACAGUAUGAAUAAGCACCGGCUAACUCCGUGCCAGCCGCCGCAGUAAUAC